UACGGAGGGUGCAAGCGUUAUCCGGAUUCACUGGGUUUAAAGGGUUCGUAGGUGGGUCUGUAAGUCAGUGGUGAAAUCUCCAAGCUUAACUUGGAAACUGCCGUUGAUACUAUAGACCUUGAAUGCUGUGGAGGUGAGCGGAAUAUGUCAUGUAGCGGUGAAAUGCUUAGAUAUGACAUAGAACACCAAUUGCGAAGGCAGCUCACUACCCAGAUAUUGACACUGAGGCACGAAAGCGUGGGGAUCAAACAGG
rnacentral:rRNA from 1 species